UACGGGGGGAGCAAGGCGUUGUUCGGAUUUACUGGGCGUAAAGGGCGCGUAGGCGGCCACCGCAAGUCGAUUGUGAAAUCUCCGGGCUUAACUCGGAAAGGUCAACUGAUACUGCUCGACUAGAGUGCGGAAGGGGCAACUGGAAUUCUUGGUGUAGCGGUGAAAUGCGUAGAUAUCGAGAGGAACACCUGCGGCGAAGGCGGGUUGCUGGGCGUGAACACGUGACG
rnacentral:rRNA from 1 species